rnacentral:rRNA from 1 species
UACGGAGGGGGCGAGCGUUAUUCGGAAUUAUUGGGCGUAAAGGGCGCGUAGGCGGCUGUACAAGUCAAAGGUGAAAUCCCUCGGCUCAACUGAGGAACUGCCUUUGAAACUGUACGCUUGAGGCCGGGAGGGGGUAGCGGAAUUCCCAGUGUAGCGGUGAAAUGCGCAGAUAUCAGGAAGAACACCCGUGGCUAAGGCGGCUCUCUAGUACGGUACUGACGCUGAGACGCGAAAGCGUGGGGAGCGAACAGG